rnacentral:rRNA from 1 species
GACGAACGCUGGCGGCGUGCUUAACACGUGCAAGUCGAACGGAAAGGCCUGCUUUCCCUUGUGGAUUGCGGGUACUCGAGUGGCGAACGGGUGAGUAACACGUGAGUGAUCUGCCCCCAACUUGGGUAUAAGCCUGGGAAACUGGGUCUAAUUCCCGAUAGGACUGCAGGGUGGUGCCUGUGGUGGAAAACGAUUUUCUAGUGGUUGGGGAUGAGCUCGCGGCCUAUCAGCUUGUUGGUGGGGUAAUGGCCUACCAAGGCGGCGACGGGUAGCCGGCCUGAGAGGGUGGACGGCCACAUUGGGACUGAGAUACGGCCCAGACUCCUACGGGAGGCAGUAGUGGGGAAUAUUGCACAAUGGGCGGAAGCCUGAUGCAGCGACGCCGCGUGGGGGAUGACGGCCUUCGGGUUGUAAACUCCUUUCGACCGCGAGGAAGCCACCUGGUUGGAAGGGUGGUGACGGUAGUGGUAGAAGAAGCACCGGCUAACUACGUG